rnacentral:rRNA from 1 species
UACGUAGGGACCAAGCGUUGUUCGGAUUUACUGGGCGUAAAGGGCGCGUAGGCGGCGUGUUAAGUCAGCUGUGAAAUCUCCAAGCUUAACUUGGAACGGUCAGCUGAUACUGAUGUGCUAGAGUGCAGAAGGGGCAACCGGAAUUCUUGGUGUAGCGGUGAAAUGCGUAGAUAUCAAGAGGAACACCUGAGGUGAAGAUGGGUUGCUGGGCUGACACUGACGCUGAGGCGCGAAAGCUAGGGUAGCAAACGGG